AAUAGAUACCCGGGUAGUCCACGCCGUAAACGAUGAGUGCUAAGUGUUGGGGGGUUUCCGCCCUUUAGUGCUGCAGCUAACGCAUUAAGCACUCCGCCUGGGGAGUACGGUCGCAAGACUGAAACUCAAAGGAAUUGACGGGGGCCCGCACAAGUGGUGGAGCAUGUGGUUUAAUUCGAAGCAACGCGAAGAACCUUACCAGGUCUUGACAUCCUCUGACAACUCUAGAGAUAGAGCGUUCCCCUUCGGGGGACAGAGUGACAGGUGGUGCAUGGUUGUCGUCAGCUCGUGUCGUGAGAUGUUGGGUUAAGUCCCGCAACGAGCGCAACCCUUGAUCUUAGUUGCCAGCAUUUAGUUGGGCACUCGUAAGGUGACUGCCGGUGACAAACCGGAGGAAGGUGGGGAUGGACGUCAAAUCAUCAUGCCCCUUAUCGACCUGGGCUACACACGUGCUACAAUGGAUGGUACAAAGGGCUGCAAGACCGCGAGGUCAAGCCAAUCCCAUAAAAACCAUUCUCAGUUCGGAUUGUAGG
rnacentral:rRNA from 1 species